rnacentral:rRNA from 1 species
UACGGAGGAUGCGAGCGUUAUCCGGAUUUAUUGGGUUUAAAGGGAGCGCAGGCGGGCGAUUAAGUCAGUUGUGAAAUGCUACGGCUCAACCGUGGACUUGCAGUUGAUACUGGUUGCCUUGAGUGCGGCAGAGGCAGGCGGAAUUCGUGGUGUAGCGGUGAAAUGCUUAGAUAUCACGAAGAACCCCGAUUGCGAAGGCAGCCUGCUAAGCUGCAACUGACGUUGAUGCUCGAAAGUGUGGGUAUCAAACAGG